GUUCUCCACAAAGCAGAGAAAAAGCAAAGACUCUCAUUGUGCUGAGGUACCAUGGCAAAUCAGUGCUCCAAUGAUGGUUCUAGUACAAGCAACACUUCUGGAGAAACUUCAGAUGCAACUGUAGAGCUCAAUAUCAAGACUCUAGAUUCUCAGAUUUACAGUUUUCAGGUGGAUAAAAAUAUUCCCGUUUCAGCAUUCAAGGAGAAAAUAGCUAAUGAAAUUGGUGUUCCAGUAGUUCAGCAAAGACUGAUUUUCCGGGGAAAGGUCUUGAAGGAUGAACAUCUCCUUUCGGAAUAUCAAGUGGAGAAUGGGCAUACCUUGCACUU
rnacentral:misc_RNA from 1 species